rnacentral:tRNA from 1 species
GCCGCACAAGCAUUGACGGUGAUGCUCCGGUUUUGUAAGCCGGCGAAGCGGGUUCAAGUCCCGAAUGCGGCUCCA